rnacentral:rRNA from 1 species
CGCCUCUUGCUAACAAGUAAGUAUAAGAGGUCCCGCCUGCCCAGUGAGCAAUUUCAACGGCCGCGGUAUCAUGACCGUGCAAAGGUAGCGUAAUCACUUGUCUUUUAAAUAAAGACCUGUAUGAAUGGCAAAACGAAAGUUCAACUGUCUCUUUAGUCCAAUCAAUUAAAUUUAUCUCUCCGUGCAGAAGCGGAGAUAAACAUAUAAGACGAGAAGACCCUAUGGAGCUUUAAACACACUAUUAACUAUGCCCCCCUACAACAACCCCACAGGCAAAAAUUAUAGACCGCAUAGAUGUAAUACAAGUUUUGGGUUGGGGCGACCACGGAAGAAAAAUAAUCCUCCGAGAUAAACAAUUUAGAACAACAUUUCAAAAAUUAAAACAUUUAUUAAAAAUGAUCCACUAAGUGAUCAACGAACCAAGUUACCCUAGGGAUAACAGCGCAAUCCUUUCUAAGAGUUCAUAUCGACGAACGGGUUUACGACCUCGAUGUUGGAUCAGGACACCCAAACGGUGCAGCCGCUGUUAAUGGUUCGUUUGUUCAACGAUUAAAGUCCU